UAGGGAAUCUUCGGCAAUGGGGGCAACCCUGACCGAGCAACGCCGCGUGAGUGAAGAAGGUUUUCGGAUCGUAAAGCUCUGUUGUAAGAGAAGAACGUGUGUGAGAGUGGAAAGUUCACACAGUGACGGUAACUUACCAGAAAGGGACGGCUAACUACGUGCCAGCAGCCGCGGUAAUACGUAGGUCCCGAGCGUUGUCCGGAUUUAUUGGGCGUAAAGCGAGCGCAGGCGGUUUAAUAAGUCUGAAGUUAAAGGCAGUGGCUUAACCAUUGUUCGCUUUGGAAACUGUUAAACUUGGGUGCAGAAGGGGAGAGUGGAAUUCCAUGUGUAGCGGUGAAAUGCGUAGAUAUAUGGAGGAACACCGGUGGCGAAAGCGGCUCUCUGGUCUGUAACUGACGCUGAGGCUCGAAAGCGUGGGGAGCAAACAGG
rnacentral:rRNA from 1 species